NNNNNACUCCCUCCGUCCCAAAAUUCUUGUCUUAGAUUUGUCUAGAUACGGAUGUAUCAAGUCACAUUUUAGUAUUAGAUACAUCCAUAUCUAGACAAAUCUAAGACAAGAAAUUUGGGACAGAGGGAGUAGUAG
rnacentral:pre_miRNA from 1 species